rnacentral:rRNA from 1 species
AGACGUUAGCGGCGGACGGGUGAGUAACACGUGGGUAACCUACCUAUAAGACUGGGAUAACUUCGGGAAACCGGAGCUAAUACCGGAUAACAUUUGGAACCGCAUGGUUCUAAAGUGAAAGAUGGUUUUGCUAUCACUUAUAGAUGGACCCGCGCCGUAUUAGCUAGUUGGUAAGGUAACGGCUUACCAAGGCGACGAUACGUAGCCGACCUGAGAGGGUGAUCGGCCACACUGGAACUGAGACACGGUCCAGACUCCUACGGGAGGCAGCAGUAGGGAAUCUUCCGCAAUGGGCGAAAGCCUGACGGAGCAACGCCGCGUGAGUGAUGAAGGGUUUCGGCUCGUAAAACUCUGUUAUUAGGGAAGAACAAACGUGUAAGUAACUGUGCACGUCUUGACGGUACCUAAUCAGAAAGCCACGGCUAACUACGUGCCAGCAGCCGCGGUAAUACGUAGGUGGCAAGCGUUAUCCGGAAUUAUUGGGCGUAAAGCGCGCGUAGGCGGUUUCUUAAGUCUGAUGUGAAAGCCCACGGCUCAACCGUGGAGGGUCAUUGGAAACUGGGAAACUUGAGUGCAGAAGAGGAAAGUGGAAUUCCAUGUGUAGCGGUGAAAUGCGCAGAGAUAUGGAGGAACACCAGUGGCGAAGGCGACUUUCUGGUCUGUAACUGACGCUGAUGUGCGAAAGCGUGGGGAUCAAACAGGAUUAGAUACCCUGGUAGUCCACGCCGUAAACGAUGAGUGCUAAGUGUUAGGGGGUUUCCGCCNCUUANUGCUGCAGCUAACGCAUUAAGCACUCCGCCUGGG